AACGAACGCUGGCGGCAGGCUUAACACAUGCAAGUCGAGCGUCCUCGCAAGGGGGCGCGGCAGACGGGUGCGUAACGCGUGGGAACAUACCUCUCGGUUCGGAAUAACCCAGGGAAACUUGGGACAAUACCGGAUACGUGCGAAAGCAGAAAGAUUCAUCGCCGAGAGAUUGGCCCGCGUCCGAUUAGCUGGUUGGUGAGGUAACGGCUCACCAAGGCGACGAUCGGUAGCUGGUCUGAGAGGAUGAUCAGCCACACUGGGACUGAGACACGGCCCAGACUCCUACGGGAGGCAGCAGUGGGGAAUAUUGGACAAUGGGCGCAAGCCUGAUCCAGCCAUGCCGCGUGAGUGAUGAAGGCCCUAGGGUUGUAAAGCUCUUUCGCCAGGGACGAUAAUGACGGUACCUGGAUAAGAAGCCCCGGCUAACUUCGUGCCAGCAGCGCGGUAAAAUAGCGUACU
rnacentral:rRNA from 1 species